GGGUAGUUUAACUGGGGUGGUUACCUUCUAAAAAGUAACGGAGGUGUAUAAAGACAAUUUUAAGCUAAUUUUUAGUUUUUAAGUGCAAUAGCAUAUAAUUGUUUGACUGCUAAAUUGACAAAUUAAGCAGGGAUUACUGUCGAUUAUAGUGACCCGAUAAAUAUAAGAAUGGUAUUAUUAUCGAUUAACGAAUAAAAGGUACUCUGGGGAUAACAGGCUAAUUAUUUUUUUAGAGUUCAUAUCGACAAAAGUGUUUGGCACCUCGAUGUCGGCUUAUCACAUCCUAGAGUUGGAGAAGAUUCUAAAGGUUAGGCUGUUCGCCUAUUAAAGUGGUACAUGAGCUGGGUUUAGAACGUUGUAAAACAGUUUGGUUCCUAUCUUUUGUAGAAUAAAAAAUAGUAAAAAAAAUAAAGCUUAGUACGAGAGGACCAGUUUAUAUUAAGCCUACGGUGGUAGCAAUUAUUAUUCAUUAGUAAGUUGCUUAGUUGAGCUUAAAAUAGCUAAUCACUGAAAUCAUAUAAGUGAGAAUCUAAUUUU
rnacentral:rRNA from 1 species